rnacentral:sRNA from 1 species
UGAUUAAGCAUUGCCGUAGACAGCAGGUGCGUAAGCGUAACGUAUAUCAACCUGCCGAGGAUAAAUCAGAUUAUUAAUCUGCCUCUUUGUCUAUGACAAAGAGGUUUUUUUAUA